UGGGGAAUUUUGGACAAUGGGCGAAAGCCUGAUCCAGCAAUGCCGCGUGUGUGAAGAAGGCCUUCGGGUUGUAAAGCACUUUUGUCCGGAAAGAAAUCCUUGGCUCUAAUACAGUCGGGGGAUGACGGUACCGGAAGAAUAAGCACCGGCUAACUACGUGCCAGCAGCCGCGGUAAUACGUAGGGUGCAAGCGUUAAUCGGAAUUACUGGGCGUAAAGCGUGCGCAGGCGGUUUGCUAAGACCGAUGUGAAAUCCCCGGGCUCAACCUGGGAACUGCAUUGGUGACUGGCAGGCUAGAGUAUGGCAGAGGGGGGUAGAAUUCCACGUGUAGCAGUGAAAUGCGUAGAGAUGUGGAGGAAUACCGAUGGCGAAGGCAGCCCCCUGGGCCAAUACUGACGCUCAUGCACGAAAGCGUGGGGAGCAAACAGGAUUAGAUACCCUGGUAGUCCACGCCCUAAAACGAUGUCAACUAGUUGUUGGGGAUUCAUUUCCUUAGUAACGUAGCUAACGCGUGGAGUUGACCGCCUGGGGAGUACGGUCGCAAGAUUAAAACUCAAAUGAAUUGACGGGGUCAUAGCUGUUUCCU
rnacentral:rRNA from 1 species